UACGUAGGGUGCGAGCGUUAAUCGGAAUACUGGGCGUAAAGCGUGCGCAGGCGGUUUUGUAAGACUGUCGUGAAAUCCCCGGGCUCAACCUGGGAAUGGCGAUGGUGACUGCAAGGCUAGAGUUUGGCAGAGGGGGGUAGAAUUCCGACGUGUAGCAGUGAAAAUGCGUAGAUAUGUGGAGGAACACCGAUGGCGAAGGCAGCCCUGGGUCAAACUGACGCUCAUGCACGAAAGCGUGGGAGCAAAACAGG
rnacentral:rRNA from 1 species